GCGACCAUGGUGAAAUUGGUAAACACAACAGACUUAAAAUCUGUCGCUUCAGAGCUUGCCGGUUCAAGUCCGGCUGGUCGCACCA
rnacentral:tRNA from 1 species